rnacentral:rRNA from 1 species
UGACGAGUGGCGGACGGGUGAGUAACGCGUAGGAAUAUGCCCAGUAGCGGGGGAUAGCCCGGGGAAACUCGGAUUAAUACCGCAUACGCCCUACGGGGGAAAGCGGGGGAUCUUCGGACCUCGCACUAUUGGAGUAGCCUGCGUUGGAUUAGCUUGUUGGUGGGGUAAAGGCCUACCAAGGCGACGAUCCAUAGCUGGUCUGAGAGGACGAUCAGCCACACUGGGACUGAGACACGGCCCAG